ACCUUAUCAUUUAGAGGAAGGAGAAGUCGUAACAAGGUUUCCGUAGGUGAACCUGCGGAAGGAUCAUUGUCGGCGCCACGCGAAAAGAGCGACCCGCGAACCGGUUGGAACCUAUCGCCCUGACAGGGMGGGGGAGGGWGRRGGCGCGCCCGAGGCCUCCCCCGGCAACCAAACCCCGGCGCCCCAGGCGCCAAGGAAACGAAUCAGGGCGGGGGCGAGCCCGCGGGCCGGGCUCCCCGCGCCACCUGCGCACCGUACGGAACGACUCUCGGCAACGGAUAUCUCGGCUCUCGCAUCGAUGAAGAACGUAGCGAAAUGCGAUACUUGGUGUGAAUUGCAGAAUCCCGUGAACCAUCGAGUCUUUGAACGCAAGUUGCGCCCGAAGCCUUCUGGCCGAGGGCACGUCUGCCUGGGCGUCACGCAGCGUCGCCCCGCCCCCCUCCGCGGGCGCGGGACGGAUGUUGGCCUCCCGGGGGCCUCGCCCCCCGGCCGGCCGAAACAGGGGCCCGGCGUGACGGACGCCACGAUCCACGGUGGUUGAGCGGGGACCCCGCUCGAGGCCAAGACGUGAGCGGGCCGUCCCACGGCGAGGGCCCGUCCCCCAACCGAACGCGACCCCAGGUCAGGCGGGGCUACCCGCUGAGUUU
rnacentral:rRNA from 1 species